CUUUGGGUCACCUCCCACCCGUGUUUAUUUUACCUUGUUGCUUCGGCGGGCCCGCCUUUACUGGCCGCCGGGGGGCUCACGCCCCCGGGCCCGCGCCCGCCGAAGACACCCCCGAACUCUGUCUGAAGAUUGAAGUCUGAGUGAAAAUAUAAAUUAUUUAAAACUUUCAACAACGGAUCUCUUGGUUCCGGCAUCGAUGAAGAACGCAGCGAAAUGCGAUACGUAAUGUGAAUUGCAAAUUCAGUGAAUCAUCGAGUCUUUGAACGCACAUUGCGCCCCCUGGUAUUCCGGGGGGCAUGCCUGUCCGAGCGUCAUUGCUGCCCUCAAGCCCGGCUUGUGUGUUGGGCCCCGUCCUCCGAUUCCGGGGGACGGGCCCGAAAGGCAGCGGCGGCACCGCGUCCGGUCCUCGAGCGUAUGGGGCUUUGUCACCCGCUCUGUAGGCCCGGCCGGCGCUUGCCGAUCAACCCAAAUUUUUAUCCAGGUUGACCUCGGAUCAGGUAGGGAUACCCGCUGAACUUAAGCAUAUCAAUAAGCGGAGGAA
rnacentral:rRNA from 1 species